GGAUGAGCCCGCGGCCUAUCAGCUUGUUGGUGAGGUAAUGGCUCACCAAGGCGACGACGGGUAGCCGGCCUGAGAGGGCGGCCGGCCACACUGGGACUGAGACACGGCCCAGACUCCUACGGGAGGCAGCAGUGGGGAAUAUUGCACAAUGGGCGAAAGCCUGAUGCAGCGACGCCGCGUGAGGGAUGACGGCCUUCGGGUUGUAAACCUCUUUCAGCAGGGAGGAAGCGAAAGUGACGGUACCUGCAGAAGAAGCGCCGGCUAACUACGUGCCAGCAGCCGCGGUAAUACGUAGGGCGCGAGCGUUGUCCGGAAUUAUUAGGCGUAAAAAGCUCGUAGGCGGCUUGUCACGUCGGUUGUGAAAGCCCGGGGCUUAACCCCGGGUCUGCAGUCGAUACGGGCAGGCUAGAGUUCGGUAGGGGAGAUCGGAAUUCCUGGUGUAGCGGUGAAAUGCGCAGAUAUCAGGAGGAACACCGGUGGCGAAGGCGGAUCUCUGGGCCGAUACUGACGCUGAGGAGCGAAAGCGUGGGGAGCGAACAGGAUUAGAUACCCUGGUAGUCCACGCCGUAAACGGUGGGCACUAGGUGUGGGCGACAUUCCACGUCGUCCGUGCCGCAGCUAACGCAUUAAGUGCCCCGC
rnacentral:rRNA from 1 species